rnacentral:rRNA from 1 species
GAUGAACGCUGGCGGCGUGCUUAACACAUGCAAGUCGAACGGUGAAGGCGGAGCUUGCUCUGCUGGAUCAGUGGCGAACGGGUGAGUAACACGUGAGCAAUCUGCCCCUGACUCUGGGAUAAGCGCUGGAAACGGCGUCUAAUACUGGAUACGAGCUGCGAAGGCAUCUUCAGCAGCUGGAAAGAAUUUCGGUCAGGGAUGAGCUCGCGGCCUAUCAGCUUGUUGGUGAGGUAAUGGCUCACCAAGGCGUCGACGGGUAGCCGGCCUGAGAGGGUGACCGGCCACACUGGGACUGAGACACGGCACAGACUCCUACGGGAGGCAGCAGUGGGGAAUAUUGCACAAUGGGCGAAAGCCUGAUGCAGCAACGCCGCGUGAGGGACGACGGCCCUCGGGUUGUAAACCUCUUUUAGCAGGGAAGAAGCGAAAGUGACGGUACCUGCAGAAAAAGCGCCGGCUAACUACGUG